rnacentral:miRNA from 1 species
AUAUGCAAGUUUUUUAAAAAUUUGAAAAUCAUUUGAUACUUCGUUUUAUUAAUUCAAAUUGAUGGAUAAUCGUAAAAUCAUUUUAUAUGUUGAUUUGAAUUAAUGAAACAAAGUAUCAAAUGAUUUUCAAAUUUUUAAAAAAUUAUAGAUU